AUAGCUUCUUGGCCUUUUGCUUAAGAUCAAGUGUAGUAUCUGUUCUUAUCAGUUUAAGAUACAGUUAUAUGUAAACAACAUAAAAGGACAUAAAUUAUGGUGAGGUCUU
rnacentral:snRNA from 1 species